rnacentral:rRNA from 2 species
UGGCGGCGUGCCUAAUACAUGCAAGUCGAACGAACUCUGGUAUUGAUUGGUGCUUGCAUCAUGAUUUACAUUUGAGUGAGUGGCGAACUGGUGAGUAACACGUGGGAAACCUGCCCAGAAGCGGGGGAUAACACCUGGAAACAGAUGCUAAUACCGCAUAACAACUUGGACCGCAUGGUCCGAGUUUGAAAGAUGGCUUCGGCUAUCACUUUUGGAUGGUCCCGCGGCGUAUUAGCUAGAUGGUGAGGUAACGGCUCACCAUGGCAAUGAUACGUAGCCGACCUGAGAGGGUAAUCGGCCACAUUGGGACUGAGACACGGCCCAAACUCCUACGGGAGGCAGCAGUAGGGAAUCUUCCACAAUGGACGAAAGUCUGAUGGAGCAACGCCGCGUGAGUGAAGAAGGGUUUCGGCUCGUAAAACUCUGUUGUUAAAGAAGAACAUAUCUGAGAGUAACUGUUCAGGUAUUGACGGUAUUUAACCAGAAAGCCACGGCUAACUACGUGCCAGCAGCCGCGGUAAUACGUAGGUGGCAAGCGUUGUCCGGAUUUAUUGGGCGUAAAGCGAGCGCAGGCGGUUUUUUAAGUCUGAUGUGAAAGCCUUCGGCUCAACCGAAGAAGUGCAUCGGAAACUGGGAAACUUGAGUGCAGAAGAGGACAGUGGAACUCCAUGUGUAGCGGUGAAAUGCGUAGAUAUAUGGAAGAACACCAGUGGCGAAGGCGGCUGUCUGGUCUGUAACUGACGCUGAGGCUCGAAAGUAUGGGUAGCAAACAGGAUUAGAUACCCUGGUAGUCCAUACCGUAAACGAUGAAUGCUAAGUGUUGGAGGGUUUCCGCCCUUCAGUGCUGCAGCUAACGCAUUAAGCAUUCCGCCUGGGGAGUACGGCCGCAAGGCUGAAACUCAAAGGAAUUGACGGGGGCCCGCACAAGCGGUGGAGCAUGUGGUUUAAUUCGAAGCUACGCGAAGAACCUUACCAGGUCUUGACAUACUAUGCAAAUCUAAGAGAUUAGACGUUCCCUUCGGGGACAUGGAUACAGGUGGUGCAUGGUUGUCGUCAGCUCGUGUCGUGAGAUGUUGGGUUAAGUCCCGCAACGAGCGCAACCCUUAUUAUCAGUUGCCAGCAUUAAGUUGGGCACUCUGGUGAGACUGCCGGUGACAAACCGGAGGAAGGUGGGGAUGACGUCAAAUCAUCAUGCCCCUUAUGACCUGGGCUACACACGUGCUACAAUGGAUGGUACAACGAGUUGCGAACUCGCGAGAGUAAGCUAAUCUCUUAAAGCCAUUCUCAGUUCGGAUUGUAGGCUGCAACUCGCCUACAUGAAGUCGGAAUCGCUAGUAAUCGCGGAUCAGCAUGCCGCGGUGAAUACGUUCCCGGGCCUUGUACACACCGCCCGUCACACCAUGAGAGUUUGUAACACCCAAAGUCGGUGGGGUAACCUUUUAGGAACCAGCCGCCUAAGGUGGGACAGAUGAUUAGGGUGAAGUCG